UUCAGAAGUCAGAGUAUUUAUCUUAAUGAAAGUUAUUUCCUCUGUCUUCCAGGUUGUUCUUAAACCUUGAUUUCUCAUAUUUUCAGAUACCACCUUCUUUCUGAUGAUUAGCAAGAGCUACUUACAUUUUGCUGGAUUUUCUUCCCUUCACCAAAGGCUUAAAACCCAAGAGAGAGUUAACUUCGUCCCACCAGCCGUGACACUGGGAAAUAGAAUCUGCUUCAGCCCAUUUCUGCUACUUUUCCCCAUUUCGUUCGAGGUAACCAACAGUUAAAAACACUGCCUGAAGGCAAGAGGAAGGAAGAUUUCAAAGGAAGGAAGUUUCUCCAUGUUGUCCCAACGCUGAUAGCUGCCUGCGCCAGUACUCGGGCAUAGUCAGUGAUCGGAGUUGCAAAACUCGCCUGAACUGAGACACCAACAUGUUCAUGGUUUAAAAUGAAACGAAACCAUUUUUAACAACAGAGCAAGAUAAUGUACUCAUCUUUCUAGGAGGUAAUUUGUUCUGCAAGUCAAAACCUGCUCAAGAUACCCGUGGUGUGACUGUUAUUUAAAAAUGAUAGUUACCUGCAGAAGCAAAUCAACUGUUAUGAAAAGCUGAACAUCUUUUCAACAUACCACCUAACAAUUUUUUUUGCUAAGUGCUUUCAGAGUAAUUUCAUUCCCUUUGUACACACAACCAUAAAAGCUGGAACUAUUAAAAGUAGAACCCUUUAAAGAGGAGGACAUUGAUUAAGAUGAAAGCUACAAAUGCUGGUAAGUAAAAGUAUACUUGAUGUUCAAAGUAUGCAUGCAAGCUCUAAGAAACUGUAGAUAUGAUUAUCAGUAAAGCCAGUAUGUUUUUGGUAUCAUGAAGAUUUGCUUUGGACCUGUCAGUCUACGAUGUGAACAGUCUGAUGGUGACCACUAGCCAUGAAGUCUUUUGAUACUUCACCAUUAAAUAUUUUAAGGCAUAGCCAUUCUCCCAAUCAGUGCU
rnacentral:lncRNA from 1 species